rnacentral:rRNA from 1 species
AUUGAACGCUGGCGGCAUGCCUUACACAUGCAAGUCGAACGGCAGCAUAGGAGCUUGCUCCUGAUGGCGAGUGGCGAACGGGUGAGUAAUAUAUCGGAACGUGCCCUAGAGUGGGGGAUAACUAGUCGAAAGACUAGCUAAUACCGCAUACGAUCUACGGAUGAAAGUGGGGGAUCGCAAGACCUCAUGCUCCUGGAGCGGCCGAUAUCUGAUUAGCUAGUUGGUGGGGUAAAAGCCUACCAAGGCAACGAUCAGUAGCUGGUCUGAGAGGACGACCAGACACACUGGGACGGAGACACGGCCCAGACUCCUACGGGAGGCAGCAGUGGGGAAUUUUGGACAAUGGGGGCAACCCUGAUCCAGCAAUGCCGCGUGAGUGAAGAAGGCCUUCGGGUUGUAAAGCUCUUUUGUCAGGGAAGAAACGGUAGUAGCGAAUAACUACUACUAAUGACGGUACCUGAAGAAUAAGCACCGGCUAACUACGUGCCAGCAGCCGCGGUAA